rnacentral:rRNA from 1 species
CCUACGGGAGGCAGCAGUGGGGAAUAUUGGGCAAUGGAGGAAACUCUGACCCAGCGACGCCGCGUGCGGGAUGAAGGCCUUCGGGUUGUAAACCGCUUUCAGUAGGGAAGAAGCGAAAGUGACGGUACCUACAGAAGAAGCACCGGCUAACUAUGUGCCAGCAGCCGCGGUAAUACAUAGGGUGCAAGCGUUGUCCGGAAUUAUUGGGCGUAAAGAGCUCGUAGGUGGUUCGUCACGUCGGAUGUGAAAAUCUGGGGCUCAACCCCAGACCUGCAUUCGAUACGGGCGAUCUAGAGUGUGGUAGGGGAGACUGGAAUUCCUGGUGUAGCGGUGGAAUGCGCAGAUAUCAGGAGGAACACCAAUGGCGAAGGCAGGUCUCUGGGCCAUUACUGACACUGAGGAGCGAAAGCGUGGGGAGCGAACAGGAUUAGAUACCCUGGUAGUCCACGCCGUAAACGGUGGGCACUAGUUGUGGGAACCUUCCACGGUUUCUGCGACGCAGCUAACGCAUUAAGUGCCCCGCCUGGGGAGUACGAUCGCAAGNUUAAAACCUUAAUGAAAUUGACGGCUGAGACGUGCCGACGGACGACGACGAGGGAGGUAGG